AACGAACGCUGGCGGCAGGCUUAACACAUGCAAGUCGAACGCAUCCUUCGGGGUGAGUGGCAGACGGGUGAGUAACGCGUGGGAACGUGCCCUUCAGUUCGGGAUAACCCAGGGAAACUUGGGCUAAUACCGGAUACGUGCGAGAGCAGAAAGAUUUAUCGCUGAAGGAUCGGCCCGCGUCUGAUUAGCUAGUUGGUGGGGUAAUGGCCCACCAAGGCGAUGAUCAGUAGCUGGGCUGAGGGGAUGAUCAGCCACAUUGGGACUGAGACACGGCCCAAACUCCUACGGGAGGCAGCAGUGGGGAAUAUUGGACAAUGGGCGCAAGCCUGAUCCAGCCAUGCCGCGUGAGUGAUGAAGGCCUUAGGGUUGUAAAGCUCUUUCGUCCGGGACGAUAAUGACGGUACCGGAAGAAGAAGCCCCGGCUAACUUCGUGCCAGCCGCCGCGGUAA
rnacentral:rRNA from 1 species